CGUAGGGCGCAAGCGUUAUCCGGAAUUAUUGGGCGUAAAGAGCUCGUAGGCGGUUUGUCGCGUCUGCCGUGAAAGUCCGGGGCUCAACUCCGGAUCUGCGGUGGGUACGGGCAGACUAGAGUGAUGUAGGGGAGACUGGAAUUCCUGGUGCAGCGGUGAAAUGCGCAGAUAUCAGGAGGAACACCGAUGGCGAAGGCAGGUCUCUGGGCAUUAACUGACGCUGAGGAGCGAAAGCAUGGGGAGCGAACAGGAUUAGAUACCCUGGUAGUCCAUGCCGUAAACGUUAGGCACUAGGUGUGGGGGACAUUCCACGUUUUCCGCGCCGUAGCUAACGCAUUAAGUGCCCCGCCUGGGGAGUACGGCCGCAAGGCUA
rnacentral:rRNA from 1 species